UUUUCUUUGUCGUUGCCGCCACUGCCCACCACGUGAGGUCUGUGGAGAGGGCAGAGGCGGGCGUCACGGGGGGGCUGAGGCACCCCACCCCAGGAGAGCCACCCUGGCAGACAGCCCCUGAGCCCAGAGAGGAGAGCGGGAGGGAGCAGGAGCAGCCAGGCGUGGCCCCUGGCCUGCGGGGGCGGAGGGUGGCAGUCCUCCAACCCCCAUCUCUCAGGACAGCGAAGGGGAGGAGAAGCCAGCCUUGGGGUAGGCGGGGUGGGGUCAGGGAAGACACCAGUGCCCUCAACAGCACGAGCACAGACUCUCUCUCCAGAAAGAAGCCUCCGAGCACAGGGAGGUGGGAUAGUCCAGGGGUAGGAAUCUGUAGCCCCAACCACCCGACCCAGAACUCCGACUUCCAGAAUAUACCAGACCUGAGGAGAAGGGCCCGUAACUCCUGCAAUUGGGUUUGGGAAGGGGAAACUCUCUGAGGAAAGGGAGGCCCCAGAGGGUAGGGACAGGGCAGAACCACGGGAGGAAGAGCCAAGUGGCAGAAGGAAGAGAGGAGCAGGAGGCUGUGGCAAGCCCGGUGGCCCGGGCAGGGCCAGUGCUGGCUCCAGCCCUCUCACCUGAGCGUCUCCACUCGGUCUUUGCUUUCAGGUUCAUUCAGGUUCCUCAAAAAACAGAGCGAGGGAGAGUUUAGUGCUGGGAUCUCUCGCUCCUUCCGCCGCCACAGACCCAGAUGAGAGUGGGUCUGGGGAGGUGCCACCAGUGGGUGGGCAGGACCCAAGCCCAGGGCCCUCUGCCCAUCACCUGGCAAGCCAACAGGGCUCUGCAGCACCUCACACUGGCGGCUCAACCAUUCCUUUCCAGCAGGGAGCCCAGCACAUGGGGCUUGUCCCUCCCCACAUUCCCAGAUCUGUGCCGGGGAGAAGGAGCCUCUGCUCUGGGGGAGGAGGGGGAGUGGCUGUGCACGCACUUCACUGAGCACACUGAGCACACGGCCCGGCACGAGGCUGCUCCCCCACAGCCAGGGCUCACGCGCUGUUCUGGGGGUUGCAGGUGUGAGUGCGUUUUUGGAGCCACACGCUAGGGUCUCAGGACUGCAGUCCUUUUGGAGGAAAGGGGCUGCAAUGCUUUGAAUCUCUGUAGGAGGAGGGGCCGUGGCUACGCAAGGGCCUGUCAGGAGACUCAAAGUGCCAAGGCCUGGGUCUGCAUGGUAGGCACCUGGGGAUGGCUUCCUGCUGCUGAGUGGAAAAGGCGGCCUCCUCCGACCUUUCCCAACUCCCCUACCUGCUGGCCUGCCAGGCCAUCUGCUCAUACGCAGGGAGGAUGAGGGUGGGGUGGGGCAGGGCAGGGCAGACACCUUGGUUGGGUGGGUGGGGAAGAGGUCUGGCCCCGCUGAGCGGCUUCUCCAGCUCCUGGCUGGAAGAUGGGUGUCUGGAGCUAGGAAACUGGGGAUUGCAGAGGAGGAAGGAUAUGAGAGGAAGGAGGAAGAGCAGCAGCACAUAGAAAUAAACAGGAAGACACAACCAACACAGGGGUGCACACAAGCGCACUGCGAGCAGGGAGCCCGGCUGUGCGAGGAAGGCACCCUCCCUGCUCUCUCCAGACCCCCUGUGGGGCAGCCCCCUGCUGGGGCCCCUUGAGGCAGCAGCCAGUCAUGCAGUCAACAGCUGGGUGGGAGGAGGAGGGGAUAGGGAAAGCCUGAAGACCCUGUCUGGACGUUCCUCCAUCAGCUGUGGCACCAAUGUGCCUGCCAGGCAUCCCAGUCCCAAUGCAGGGCCUGAGCAGACAGCCUUGGGGAACAAGCACUCUUAACCUGGCCCUUGGUCUUCAGCUUGGUAUUUGGUCCCCGAGGCCUGCAGAGAGGAUGAGCAUAAGGCCAGGGGUGAAAGAGCCAGGAAGGGGACUGUGAAGGGAGACCCCUGAGUAAGGGUGCAGAGAUCUCCUGUUGUUUUGCUACGGCUUGGGGUAGAAUGGCCGUUGCCCUAGAAUGUCCCAGCUCCCCGCACUUUGGAAGAGACAGGCCAUAUCUGGAGAAAACAGCCUAGAGGAGAAGAGGCUUGAUUUAUCCAGAUGCUGCUGGUGGCAGGGGUGCUGGGGCAGGGGUGCGGGUGGGUGGGGCUAGUUCUGCAGGAGCUGCCAGGAGGGGGUGCUGUGCUCCAUUUGUGAGACAAAAGCUCCUAAGGUCUGGGGGAGCCAGACUGAAACCUUGGGGCCCCAGGGUCCCCGUAGUGUCUCCAAAGUCCUGCGAUCCCAUAGGCCACGGGGAAGAGGUCACAUAGCUCUGAAGUUCAGGAAACCCAGGAGACAACAAACAAGAUACCAUCCCAGAUGCACUUGUAACCCUGGAGCUUCCUCAUAGCGCAUGCACAUGACAAGGGAAAGGGCAGGAAAGGAUCCCAACACUUGUGACCAAAACCUGGGGUGAGAGGGAGUGGGGGUGGGGUGGGGUGGGUGAGAGGAGACAAUCUUAAAGGGAGGCUUCCCUGAGACAGUCUCCCCUUACUUGAGGACAGGCGUUAACUGUGGGCCCAAGGAAGGCCCUCAUUUUUAAAGCCAUUUGCCCUGAGUGGGCCAAUGUGGCCUCUUAGCCCUGCCUGUUUGUACUGGGGGCACGGAGGGCAGGCCUUGUGCUGAUGCCCAAUCAGAGGCAGUCUUCAUCCCUUUAAGAUGGCAGAGAGAGGAGGGCCACACAGACUUGGUUAAGCAGAUGGAGGAGAGUAAGAGCCAGAAAAGGGGAGUUAGUGAUGGAGGCAGGACACAGGACACAGACACACACACACACACACACACACAGCGGGCUCAACGCCUACCUUCUGGCAAACCUGAAAGACAGAUUUCUAAAAAAACAAACAAAAAAAAGACAAAAUAAAAAAAGAAAUAAAAAAAAAACCAACAAGACGGUAUGUGGAUAAGCAGGUGGGGGAGGUGGCUUUACAGGUUCAAGGGUCAUCCCAUUUUCGGAAGAGCCGCUCAGCGAGACUAGAGUCCCAGGCUUUCAGACCUGCCCACACUCUCUGCAGGCCUCACACUUGCAUUCUGGGGCUCGGAUGGGGCAGUGGCUUUGGCUCCUCCAGCAGAGUGGAGUGAAACGUAGAGGAAGGGCAGGCGAGCCUGUUCUCUCAAAGCCCCUGCUGCUUCCUGAGCUGCUACUCCAAGGCAGGGAGAGGAAUGGCAGGAUGGGGAUGCGGAGCAUCCCAGGAGGCCAGCCAGUUGGCUGGAUGCACUUCAAGCUGCACCUCUGUGGUGGCUGGGGGCUCAGGUGUGAGAAACCCCGUGAAGAGAUCCCCACCCUGGGUCCAACACAGGAAACCUUUGGCACAUCGGAGUUAGGUUAGGGAAGAGGCCACUGUAGGCCCUCGCCAGUGAUUUCAUUUAUAGGUUUCACCCUAAAACCCCCGGGCAGAAGGGCAUGGCUGCGCCUGCAGCCAGAAACAGAACCAACUAGUGGGAGAGGCAGUCAAAGGGGCAAGAGACCAGGACAAAAUUUUCCUUGCUGGCCCCAGCCUGGCUCAUGCCUCAUGACUUUGCAGCUGCGUCACCAAAUAUAAGUUUCCAUGGGAACCCAGGAGAGAAGGGGGGGCUUUUAUUUUAGCAUCUGAGUUCACACUCUCCUAGAGAGGAGGCGGCAUCGGCCAUCUGCUUGGGGCCAGAGAAUGAGGGGUGCCUGUGAGGAGUUGGGGAGAGGCCUAAGAGGGGUGGGCCUGGGCACAUAAGGUGUUGACAAAGACCUAAUUUCUUGUGCUUCCUGAAGCCUCUUCUAACCCCAGGACCCAAUACCGGUACAGAGUGUCCCAAACCCCAACCCCCAACCCCCAACCCACCCCGAGUAAAGCAGGAAGGCCUGGCCUGAGCCUCUCUGCCACCCAAAGCUCCUUGCUUACCUGCGUACAAACUUGGAGGUGAACUUGCUGAAGAUGCUCCCAGAGGCCCC
rnacentral:lncRNA from 1 species